GCCAGCGUGGUGAAAUUGGUAGACACAGGGGAUUCAAAAUCCCCCGAUCGAAAGAUUGUGCCGGUUCGAGUCCGGCCGCUGGUA
rnacentral:tRNA from 1 species